GAUGAAGAACGCAGCAAAAUGCGAUAAGUAAUGUGAAUUGCAGAAUUCAGUGAAUCAUCGAAUCUUUGAACGCACAUUGCGCCCGCCAGUAUUCUGGCGGGCAUGCCUGUUCGAGCGUCAUUUCAACCCUCAAGCACAGCUUGGUGUUGGGACUCGCGUUAAUUCGCGUUCCCCAAAUUGAUUGGCGGUCACGUCGAGCUUCCAUAGCGUAGUAGUAAAACCCUCGUUACUGGUAAUCGUCGCGGCCACGCCGUUAAACCCCAACUUCUGAAUGUUGACCUCUGAUCAGGUAGGAAUACCCGCUGAACUUAAGCAUAUCAUAAGCGGAGGA
rnacentral:misc_RNA from 1 species